rnacentral:rRNA from 1 species
AUUGAACGCUGGCGGCAUGCCUUACACAUGCAAGUCGAACGGCAGCACGGGAGCAAUCCUGGUGGCGAGUGGCGAACGGGUGAGUAAAGUAUCGGAACGUGCCCAUUCGUGGGGGAUAACGUAGCGAAAGUUACGCUAAUACCGCAUACGAUCUAUGGAUGAAAGCGGGGGAUCGCAAGACCUCGCGCGAUUGGAGCGGCCGAUAUCAGAUUAGGUAGCGGGUGGGGUAAAGGCUCACCAAGCCGACGAUCUGUAGCUGGUCUGAGAGGACGACCAGCCGCAGUGGGACUGAGACACGGCCCAGACUCCUACGGGAGACAGCAGUGGGGAAUUUUGGACAAUGGGCGAAAGCCUGAUCCAGCCAUGCCGCGUGCAGGAUGAAGGCCUUCGGGUUGUAAACUGCUUUUGUACGGAACGAAAAGGUUUGGCCUAAUAAGCUGAGCUCAUGACGGUACCGUUUGCCACUCAGUCUAACAAUGUAUUGCUACACCAUUAGCUU